ACAGAAGACAACUGGGUACACUUUGAGUGUGAGAUUUCCCACUGACAUUCAAAGAUGAAUGUUGUUACAGCAACUCUGCUUCUUCUGUUGAUGACUGCACUGAUUGCCAAUGGUAAGAUUAUCUUGAUGCAUGACCCUUUUGUUUGAUGUAUUGGAGUUCAUUUUAAUCAAUAGUAUGUGUAAUGACAAUGUACAGGUGUUGUGUGUGAGAUUCUUUAAAGCAUGCACAUAAAGAAAGGUAAAGUUCCUUGAGUUUUGAGAUUAGAAUUGUAGUGCCUUCUGGGGAAACAUUUCUAUACUAUUGGUUUGUUGAACCUCUGCUAUGCAAGUGAUAGUGUAUAGGCAUGUUGAUGUAUAUGUAUUUGUUGCCGUUUUGUGACUUCCACCAAGAAAAAAAUAGUUCUUCACACAAAUAGAACUUUAAAGUUUCUGGUGUUGCGUAGCAGCCUAUUACGGUAGUAAUUCAUUUUUUUUCGGUGGUCAUUAUAAAGAAAUAUUAGACUGUCCGAAUGUUGGGGUGGCCCAUCAAAAUCAAUGGAACUUUUUGCAACAUUCUGAGGAGCCGUAUAAUAAUGUAUCACACCAGAAUAUAAAGUCUGAUCUGUAAUGCAAUGGAGUUGUGUUCUGUAAGGUCAUCUCUGAAGCCUCAUGUGAAUAUUUUGUGUAGCGGCCGUGGAGAUCUCGUGCAGGAGAUAGUUUGUAUACUAUAGCCUACAUGGAGAAUACCAAAACAAAUUCCUAGUAUCUGUAUACAUGGCGAAAUAAAGUUGAAUUGAUUGAAUUGAUAUUCUUUUAUGAUUAUAUUUGUUAUUAGUCUUCUAUUUCAUAAUUAUUGUUGAGUACCAUGAACAUACCAUGAGCAUUUUUCGUUGUCACACACAGUACAUUCUUUGGUGUAAAGCAACAUGCCAAGUGAACUCUGCUUUUCUGCUUCUUCUAGGUGUCCCAAUGAACACGAGCCAGCGUUGUCUUUGUAAGGGGAAGCUUAGAGAUAGAGUGAGGUGUACCAAUAUUUCUGGGGUGCGUGUGGUGCCUGCCAGUUCGUCCUGUGAUAACAAAGAGAUUGUUGUGAAGUUGAAGAAGGGAAGAAGAGUGUGCCUAAACCCUGCAUCAAGACAGGGCAAAGCAAUCCAGUCAUCAAACUCCCACCCCUCUCAAUGGAUUUCUGUGCAAUGUAAAAGCUGAUGUGAUUUCUUUCAUAUCAUAAUUUCACAUUUGUAUUUAUUUAUUAUGUAUCUAUUUGCUAUGAUUGUACAUCUCAAUACACCUCAAUACAUAUUGACACUCCUUUCUCAGUGUGUUUGUGUCUGUGUGCAUGGGAAGUGAAACCAGUCGAUAGGCUGGCCAAAGCAAAGAUUAAAACCAAAGCAAAACUAUAUGGGACAAUAACACUUGGUGAAAGGGUAAUGACUUGGAUCACAUGAAACCACAUGCCUGGGUGACAAUGGGACAUGUUUCUUCAGUUUUCUUUUCCCACGAAGAUGGCAUUUGGGCACAAAAACAGCAUUUGUGCCAACACAAAGCAAAAUGGAG
rnacentral:lncRNA from 1 species